UUGAAAGGGAAACGAUUGAAGUCAGUCGUACCAGCGGGAAAUCAACCUUUCGAGUGGGGUUUUGGAGUUUUUUGAAGAGUGUCAAAACCUUUGAGAUUUCAAAAUAUUCGCUCUUUUGGUGUACUUUCUCGUGGGUAGGUUAACAUCGAUUUUGAUCAUCAUAAAAAGAUUGGAGGAAUGUAGCUUCGAUCUUGUAUUGAAGUGUUAUAGCCUUUGGUAAAUGUGAUGAUUAGGAUCGAGGAUUGCAACGAAUACCCUUUUGGGCUAUCCGCCUGAUCUCUGAUACGUGGCCUUGGUAUCGAAAGCGUGCUUAUGGUAUUGAGGUAUUACGGUCAAAAGGUUAGAACGGAUUACAUUCGUUAAGGAUGUUGACGUA
rnacentral:rRNA from 1 species